ensembl:snoRNA Gm24790 small nucleolar RNA SNORA17
CCUAUCCCUAGAGGGGUAGUGGAUGCUGCUGUAUCACAUGUGCAUCAGGAGGUGGCAGAGAGGGGAGAGGCUAUGUCAAUGCUCAGUGUUCUGAUCUGUGAACAUCUAAAUGGUUAGUAACUUAACAUU